UGAGAAGGUUUUUCGGAGAAU
ensembl:piRNA 21ur-7910 ncRNA